GAUGAAGAACGCAGUGAAACGCGAUAGUUAAUGUGAAUUGCAGAAUUCCGUGAAUCAUCGAGUCUUUGAACGCACAUUGCGCCCCCUGGUAUUCCGGGGGGCAUGCCUGUCCGAGCGUCAUUGCUGCCCAUCAAGCACGGCUUGUGUGUUGGGUCCUCGUCCCCCCCGGGGGACGUGCCCGAAAGGCAGCGGCGGCACCGCGUCCGGUCCUCGAGCGUAUGGGGCUUUGUCACCCGCUCUGCAGGCCCGGCCGGCGCUGGCCGACGCGAAAGCAACCAUUUUUUCUCCAGGUUGACCUCGGAUCAGGUAGGGAUACCCGCUGAACUUAAGCAUAUCAAUAAGCGGAGGA
rnacentral:misc_RNA from 1 species